GACGAAGGGGGCUAGCGUUGUUCGGAAUUACUGGGCGUAAAGCGCGUGUAGGCGGUUGCCCAAGUCGGGAGUGAAAGCCUUGAGCUCAACUCAAGAAAUGCACUCGGUACUGGGUGACUAGAGGACCGGAGAGGAUAGUGGAAUUCCCAGUGUAGUGGUGAAAUACAUAGAGAUUGGGAAGAACACCAGUGGCGAAGGCGGCUAUCUGGACGGUUUCUGACGCUAAGACGCGAAAGCGUGGGGAGCAAACAGG
rnacentral:rRNA from 1 species